ACCCAAUGGCCUAUUAAGGCUGAAACAACGUCACUUACUGCAGAAAGCACCUAUAGAGCACAAUGAAAAAAUUAUCCUUGUUGCAGAGGUCACGGGGAAAAAAAUAUCAGAGUGUUCUGAUCUCCAGAUCCUCAAGGUGAUGUUGGAAACUGAAGAGUGUGGAGGAAAAAAGAACCAAAAAAGUGGUUUGCAAGGAAGACUAAAAAGUUUGCAAGGAAAGGCAGAAUGGCUCUGGAUGUGCAGCAACACUGACCCAGCAACCCAGUGAUGGUGAAGUUGCUGCCACCCUUUCUUUCACUGCUGGGCAAAGGACCCUGGUGUUCUCUGCUUCGGUAUCCUGAAGUUCUCAAAUGCCAGGAGAAUCUACUUGAGGUUUUACCACAUGUCUGCAAGAACUAGUGUAGAAAACUACUUGGAGUAGCAUUCAAGAUUUUUCCUCCCUAAAGACAGCUAACUCUACUGAACUAAAGAUUGUUGCAGCUUUUAAUCACAUUCACAUGGAAGUCCACAUGGAUGCAAAUAACAGGAACAGUAGUGAAAAGGU